CCUACGGGUGGCUGCAGUGAGGAAUAUUGGUCAAUGGACGCAAGUCUGAACCAGCCAUGCCGCGUGAAGGAUGAAGGCCUUCUGGGUUGUAAACUUCUUUUAUUGGGGAAGAAAAUUAUGGUUUCUACUAUAACCGACGGUACCCAAGGAAUCAGCACCGGCUAACUCCGUGCCAGCAGCCGCGGUAAUACGGAGGGUGCAAGCGUUAUCCGGAUUCACUGGGUUGUAGGCGGGUUUUUACGGCAGGUUAGAAAUCUCCGGGCUCAACCCGGAAACUGCCAUUGAUACUAUCAGUCUUGAAUAUCGUUGAGGUAGGCGGAAUAUAUCAUGUAGCGGUGAAAUGCAUAGAUAUGAUAUAGAACACCGAUUGCGAAGGCAGCUUACUAAACGAUUAUUGACGCUGAGGCACGAAAGCGUGGGGAUCAAACAGGAUUAGAUACCCGAGUAGUC
rnacentral:rRNA from 1 species